rnacentral:rRNA from 1 species
GACGAACGCUGGCGGCGUGCUUAACACAUGCAAGUCGAACGGAAAGGCCCUGCUUUUGUGGGGUGCUCGAGUGGCGAAAGGGUGAGUAACACGUGAGUAACCUGCCCUUGACUUUGGGAUAACUUCAGGAAACUGGGGCUAAUACCGGAUAGGAGCUCCUGCUGCAUGGUGGGGGUUGGAAAGUUUCGGCGGUUGGGGAUGGACUCGCGGCUUAUCAGCUUGUUGGUGGGGUAGUGGCUUACCAAGGCUUUGACGGGUAGCCGGCCUGAGAGGGUGACCGGCCACAUUGGGACUGAGAUACGGCCCAGACUCCUACGGGAGGCAGCAGUGGGGAAUAUUGCACAAUAGGCGGAAGCCUGAUGCAGCAACGCCGCGUGCGGGAUAACGGCCUUCGGGUUGUAAACCGCUUUCGCCUGUGACGAAGCGUGAGUGACGGUAAUGGGUAAAGAAGCACCGGCUAACUACGUG